CAUGUCCUGUAGUAUAUACAUAUAAUAGGGGACUAGCUAGCAUUAGCAUUAUUAGUUCUCACUUGUACAUUUGAACCUGUUCGGUUUUAGUUAUUUUUGAUACUUUAUAUCAACCUAAACGUAUUUCGAAAUCAUGAAGCCAAUCGUUGCUCUUUUCUUCGUUCUAGCGGCUCUCUGUGUCGCAGUCAAUUUCGUAGAAUGUACAAUCUGUGCCAGGGAUCAACGUUCUGGUGGACCCCAAAACUUUGCUAGUCUUGCUGAGAUGAGGAGGGCAAACGCAGCAGGCGGAAGAUAUGUUUUCGUGCACAAUGGAGCUUGCUGAAGGUGGUUAGAAACACCCCACUAGGCUGUCAUGUAGCGCCAAUCAACAAAUGAAAAAAAAUAGGUAGAUUAGAAAACUGAAACCAUGAAUAGAAACUUUGCACCAUGUUAAACUAAAAUAAUAAUGCACUUAAUCCUUCAA